rnacentral:tRNA from 1 species
AUUUAUAUAGUUUAAAAAUAAAACAUUACAUUUUCACUGUAAAAAUAAAGACCUCCCUUUUAUAAAUA